rnacentral:rRNA from 1 species
UACGAAGGGGACUAGCGUUGUUCGGAAUCACUGGGCGUAAAGCGCACGUAGGCGGAUUCGUAAGUCAGGGGUGAAAUCCCGGGGCUCAACCUCGGAACUGCCUUUGAUACUGCGGGUCUUGAGUCCGAUAGAGGUGGGUGGAAUUCCUAGUGUAGGGGUGAAAUUCGUAGAUAUUAGGAAGAACACCGGUGGCGAAGGCGGCCCACUGGAUCGGUACUGACGCUGAGGUGCGAAAGCGUGGGGAGCAAACAGG